GGCGUCCUCACUCGCUCCUCUGUACUGCCGCCGCGCCGCUGCAUCCUCGCCGAAGUCGUCUUCUUCUCCGUCCGCCGCCGGAGCCGAGGUCCCCUUCCGCCGCUGCCGGAUCCUACCAUCCGUCGCGGCCGGCGCUCCUCCUCCUCGCUCGCUCGCUCGCUCCGGAUUACUGCCGACGCGCCGCCGCAUCCUCGCCGGAGCCGAGGUCCCCUUCUGCCGCCGCCGGAUCCUACCAUCCGCUGCGGCCAGCGCCGAGGGCGGCCCCUUCCGCCGCCGCCGCCGACGCAGUCAGUGCCUCCCUCUACCGCCGCCUAGGCCCCCGCCUCCGUGCCGUCCGGGAGCAGGAGUUUCGGCGGGGUCGUGUGGUCGCCGUCGUGCCGCCACAGAUCGAGACUCGCUGUCGCCCCGCCGCAAAUGCCUCUGGAUCUCGCCUCCCACCACAGCCACGUGAUCUUCUCUCCCACCGGCCUUCCACUAGCUGCCUGCACCUCCUCAGUCGGGUAGCCGCCACCGACCCUUGCCCUUCGCUGCCCCGUCAUCACGGUCGUCCAAGCCGCGUGCCGCCAUCGCCAGCCAUCCUUCUUACACUCACAGAAUGUAGCGUAUCUUAG
rnacentral:lncRNA from 4 species